rnacentral:rRNA from 1 species
GAUGAACGCUGGCGGCGUGCUUAACACAUGCAAGUCGAACGAAGCUGCCCAAAGGAAGUUUUCGGAUGGAAUUUAGGUAGACUUAGUGGCGGACGGGUGAGUAACGCGUGGAUAACCUGCCUUAUACAGGGGGAUAACGGAGAGAAAUUUCCGCUAAGACCGCAUAAGACCACAGCACCGCAUGGUGCAGGGGUAAAAUAUUUAUAGGUAUAAGAUGGAUCCGCGUCCGAUUAGCUUGUUGGUGAGGUAGAGGCUCACCAAGGCGACGAUCGGUAGCCGGCCUGAGAGGGUGAACGGCCACAUUGGGACUGAGACACGGCCCAAACUCCUACGGGAGGCAGCAGUGGGGAAUAUUGGACAAUGGGGGGAACCCUGAUCCAGCGACGCCGCGUGAGUGAAGAAGUAUUUCGGUAUGUAAAGCUCUAUCAGCAGGGAAGAAAAUGACGGACCUGACUAAGAAGCCCCG